rnacentral:rRNA from 1 species
AGUGAACGCUGGCGGUAGGCCUAACACAUGCAAGUCGAACGGCAGCACAGUAAGAGCUUGCUCUUACGGGUGGCGAGUGGCGGACGGGUGAGGAAUACAUCGGAAUCUACUUUUUCGUGGGGGAUAACGUAGGGAAACUUACGCUAAUACCGCAUACGACCUACGGGUGAAAGCAGGGGAUCUUCGGACUUUGCGCGAUUGAAUGAGCCGAUGUCGGAUUAGCUAGUUGGCGGGGUAAAGGCCCACCAAGGCGACGAUCCGUAGCUGGUCUGAGAGGAUGAACAGCCACACUGGAACUGAGACACGGUCCAGACUCCUACGGGAGGCAGCAGUGGGGAAUAUUGGACGAUGGGCGCAAGCCUGAUCCAGCCAUACCGCGUGGGUGAAGAAGGCCUUCGGGUGGUAAAGCCCUUUUGUUGGUAAAGAAAAGCAGCAGGUUAAUACCCCGCUGUUCUGACGGUACCCAAAGAAUAAGCACCGGCUAACUUCGUG